rnacentral:rRNA from 1 species
UACGUAGGGUGCAAGCGUUGUCCGGAAUUCUUGUGCGUAAAGAGCUCGUAGGCGGUCUGUCGCGUCGGAUGUGAAAAUCCAGGGCUCAACCCUGGACCUGCAUUCGAUACGGGCAGACUAGAGUUCGGCAGGGGAGACUGGAAUUCCUGGUGUAGCGGUGAAAUGCGCAGAUAUCAGGAGGAACACCGGUGGCGAAGGCGGGUCUCUGGGCCGAAACUGACGCUGAGGAGCGAAAGCGUGGGGAGCAAACGGG